CCGACAGUCGGUAACCGACUACUACCUACCUACCGAGUAUUGUAUUAUUUGAUUUUAUAACUUCACACGGAAAUAUUUCGGAAAUUAUGAGGUCUACGUCAUUUUUUCAAAGAGUAAUUAUGGUUUUAGAUAAUAUUUUCUAUCGAUUGGCCUAGGUUUCGAUUGACUUGAACACAAAAAAAUACAUUUCAUGUACUUUCAAGUUAAGAUAUGUUUCGCCUCAUACAAAAAGGUUCUAGAGGGCACCGUACGUAUACAGAAGGUGAUAUUUGUUAAUACUAAUCAUCUAUAUUAAAAAUGGAACGCCAUCAUCUCAGUGGCGCACAAUAUCGCAAACAGGCAGAGCUGAAGACAAAAAAAACCGAUACACUUCCAAAAAUGACAUCGUUUUUUUCCAACCAAUCUGUUAUAAUAAUGUAUGUCAAGAAUCUCAAUCCUUAUCAUCUGUUAGAACACAAAUUGAUAAAAACAGUACUACAGACGAUGAAAUAAAUAGCGAAAUUAGAACACCUGUUCCUGUUCCCGAUAAAUCUGAACCUGUUAUUGUUGCGAUUCCUGAAGUGUGAAAAAUUUAACUCGUAAAUUCCAAUAAAAAGACAGAUGCUGGGCUGUGGACGGAAUUUUCUGAGGAAGAUAUUUGCUAUUGGAUUGAUCACGGUCCAGAAAAUUGUCAGCACCAGCAGGGCCCAUUUUAUGAAUCGCGCCGUACAAAUGCUAGUGGUAAAAGUGUCCGUUUUUGCACACCACUGCUAUUUUUCGGUAAAAAAGCCAACGGUGAAACACAUAUACGGGAAUGGUUACUGUAUUCAAAUACAAAAGGAUCUUUGUAUUGCUUUGUUUGCAAGUUGUUUGGUAACAAAUCCAUCGCCACAGCGGCGAGCCAAUUUGCAGCUGAUGGAUUUAGUGAUUGGCGCAACGUAAUUGCAAUUGAGCACCAUGAAAAUAGUUCAGCUCGUAAGGACUUGAUGCCAACUUAUUUGAGUCGAAGACAAGGUCUAGGGAUCACCAAAAUCUAAAGGCACAAGUGAAAGAAGAAAGAAAAUAUUGGCAAAAUGUAUUGCAACGAGUUAUUGCAGUUAUACAAACGCUUGCAGAACGCCUGUAGGGGACAUGAUGAGUCUUUUGGAUCUAUACAUAAUGGGAAUUUUUUGAGUUUACUUGAACAUGUGGCUCAAUUUGAUCCAUUUUUAGCAAGCCAUAUUGCAAGAUAUGGAAAUAAAGGGAAAGGCAACCCAUCAUAUCUAUCGAAAACAGCGACGAACUUAUCGAUUUAAUGAGUGAUAAAGUUCACAAAGUGAUUUUCGAAGAAAUACAAUCAGCUGGGUACUUCAGCCUCUCAGUGGACUCCACGCCUGACCUAUCACAUACAGAUCAACUAAGUAUUAUUUUGAGAUACGUAUCGCCCUCUGAUGGUAUGCCCUUGGAACCAUUUUGACGUUUUUAAAUUUAAAAAGUCAUACCGGAGAAGAGAUGGCAAAUAUAGUACUCAGUUAUCUAAAGGGUUGCAAAAUAGAUAUUGCAAAGUUCAGAGGACAAUCAUAUGACAAUGCUGCUAAUAUGUCAGGACGAUAGAAAGGGAUGCAGAAAAAAAUUUUAGAGCAUAAUGAGUAUGCUGUAUUUAUACCAUGCGCUGCACAUACUCUAAACUUGAUUGGUCGUAGUGCUGUUUAUUAAAUUUUUUUUCAAUUGUACAGUUGUUAUAAAAUUUUUUCCGGCUGCUUCGCAUUGUUGGGCAGUUUUAAAAGAAAUAAAAGGCAACGAUAGCGUUCUGAAGUCGCUGUCGGAUACUCGUUGGGAAGCUCACGCUGUAGCUACGAGUGCAAUAUUACAAUCCUA